AUAUUAAGUUUGAUUUUAGUUUUAGUUGUAUUAAGAUAGUAUUACUUAUUUAUAGUUUAUUUAGUAUGAAAUUUUUUAUACAUUGGUAGUUUCUUUAUUGUUUUAUAAAUGUUCCAGAAUAAUCGGCUAUACAUUUUAAUUUUUAACUCUAUUUAUUGUGACAUCUUUGAGUGUUUUAUUUUUUAUACUAUUUUUGUAAAAUAUAUUAGUUUUUAUUUUAUUUUUUGAGGGUGUUUAAAAUUUGCUUUAGUGAACUGGACUAGUACCCAGGUAAUCAAAAUUUAAUAGUUCGGGAGUAAAGUUAUAUUUAAACCGAAAAAAUAUUGACUGACUUUAGAUUUUUCUUUGGAAUAUGUGUUUGGAGAGUCCUCCUUGAUAGUAAUUUUUAUAGGCACAUGUAUGAUUGUUUAGUUUUUAUAUUAUUUAUAAUGCUAUUUUUUUAAAGUAUUAAAACAGAUAUAUAUUUGGUUUAUAUUUUUAUUUUUCAUGUAUUACUAUUGUUAAUUUUUUUUGGAUAUUUUUUUAAUUUUUUUUUGAAAUUGGAAAAGAAAGUAAUUUUUUAUUUUUAUGUUGUAAUGAAUUUAAUAAAUAAAGUGGUACAAACCAUCCGUCAAUGGCCUAAAGGGGCGUAAGUUGUAGUAUGGUAGAAGUAAGGAAACUUGUUUCUAUUUUU